rnacentral:tRNA from 1 species
GCCCAGAUAGCUCAGUCGGUAGAGCAGAGGAUUGAAAAUCCUCGUGUCGGUGGUUCGAUUCCGCCUCCGGGCACCA